rnacentral:misc_RNA from 1 species
AACAAGGCGUACCUGCGGACCUGCGGAAGGAUCAUUACAGAGUUCGUGCCCUCGCGGGUAGAUCUCCCACCCUUGUGUAUUCCUUACAUUUUGUUGCUUUGGCAGGCCGUUGGUUCGCCAACCACCGGCUCUACGGGCUGGUGCGUGCCUGCCAGAGGACCCCCCAAACUCGGUUUGUUAGUGUCGUCUGAGUAACCAUAACAAUCGUUAAAACUUUCAACAACGGAUCUCAGAUCGGAA